UACGAAGGGGACUAGCGUUGCUCGGAAUCACUGGGCGUAAAGCGCACGUAGGCGGAUUGCUAAGUCAGGGGUGAAAUCCUGGAGCUCAACUCCAGAACUGCCUUUGAUACUGGCGAUCUCGAGUUCGGGAGAGGUGAGUGGAACUGCGAGUGUAGAGGUGAAAUUCGUAGAUAUUCGCAAGAACACCAGUGGCGAAGGCGGCUCACUGGCCCGAUACUGACGCUGAGGAGCGAAAGCGUGGGGAGCGAACAGG
rnacentral:rRNA from 1 species